UCCCUUAUAGCUCAGUUGGUAAAGAAUCUGCCUGCAAUGCAGGAGACCCGGGUUCGAUCCCUGAGUGGGGAA
rnacentral:tRNA from 1 species